GAUGAACGCUAGCGACAGGCCUAACACAUGCAAGUCGAGGGGCAUCGGGGUGUAGCAAUACGCUGCCGGCGACCGGCGGAUGGGUGAGUAACGCGUAUGCAACCUGCCUUCAGCAGGGGGAUAGCCCGUUGAAAGACGGAUUAAUACCCCGUAACACAGGGGCUCCGCAUGGAGAUUAUUGUUAAAGGGAUGCUUCCUUCGGGGAGUAUUCCGGCUGAAGAUGGGCAUGCGUUCCAUUAGGUAGUUGGUUGAGGUAACGGCUCACCAAGCCUGCGAUGGAUAGGGGAACUGAGAGGUUGGUCCCCCACACUGGUACUGAGACACGGACCAGACUCUUACGGGAGGCAGCAGUGAGGAAUCUUGGUCAAUGGACGGAAGUCUGAACCAGCCAUGUCGCGUGAAGGAGGACGGCCCUAAGGGUUGUAAACUUCUUUGCAGGGGAAUAAAGUUUCCACGAGAUGGGAUAUUGCAAGUACGCUGCGAAUAAGGAUCGGCUAACUCCGU
rnacentral:rRNA from 1 species